GACGAACGCUGGCGGCGUGCCUAAUACAUGCAAGUCGAACGAGAGCGACCGGUGCUUGCACUGGUCAAUCUAGUGGCGAACGGGUGAGUAACACGUGGGUAACCUGCCCAUCAGAGGGGGAUAACAUUCGGAAACGGAUGCUAAAACCGCAUAGGUCUUCGAACCGCAUGGUUUGAAGAGGAAAAGAGGCGCAAGCUUCUGCUGAUGGAUGGACCCGCGGUGCAUUAGCUAGUUGGUGAGGUAACGGCUCACCAAGGCCGUGAUGCAUAGCCGACCUGAGAGGGUGAUCGGCCACAUUGGGACUGAGACACGGCCCAAACUCCUACGGGAGGCAGCAGUAGGGAAUCUUCCGCGAUGGACGCAAGUCUGACGGAGCAACGCCGCGUGAGUGAAGAAGGUUUUCGGAUCGUAAAACUCUGUUGUUAGAGAAGAAUAAGUGCUAGAGUAACUGUUAGCGCCUUGACGGUAUCUAACCAGAAAGCCACGGCUAACUACGUG
rnacentral:rRNA from 1 species